rnacentral:rRNA from 1 species
UACGUAGGGUGCAAGCGUUGUCCGGAAUUAUUGGGCGUAAAGAGCUCGUAGGCGGUCUGUCGCGUCGGAUGUGAAAACCCAGGGCUCAACCCUGGGCCUGCAUUCGAUACGGGCAGACUAGAGUGAUGUAGGGGAGACUGGAAUUCCUGGUGUAGCGGUGAAAUGCGCAGAUAUCAGGAGGAACACCGAUGGCGAAGGCAGGUCUCUGGGCAUUAACUGACGCUGAGGAGCGAAAGCAUGGGGAGCGAACAGG